GUAAAAAUAAAGAAUAAAACACUAGAUUUUUUGUUUUUUUUUUUUGUUCAUAUCAUUUAUACAUGCCGUACUAGAUUCUUCGAUUUCUCACUAAUCACCGCCUAAUUCUCACCCCUUACAGGAAAAAUCGUCGUCAAGGAAAAGUCAACGGAAGAAAAAUUCUUUUUCGGAGGAAGCGCGGAGGAACUUACAGAGUUCGAGCUUGCCUUCCAGCUGACGUCGGCGAUCAAGCAAAGUCGAAACCGGAUGCGGCAGCGCAUGUUUCGCGCUAGGAAAAUUGUGAAAGCAAGUUGUGAAAAGAGAAAGCGAACUCCAUAACCAUCCUGCGGGUGCAAAGCGCUAGUGCAAAUGUAAAAAUAAAAAAUGAAACCAGUCCUUUUCUUUUCAUUUAUUAUAUCUACAUACAGUACUAGAUUCUUCGAUUUCUCACUAACCACGCUCUAAUUCUCACCUCUUACAGGAAAAAUCAUUGCCAAGGAAAAGUCAACGGAAGAAAACUUUUAUUUCGUCCGCACCGCCGAUGGUCGCUAUAAAAUUCAUGCAAAUGCCCCUUCAUCAAAAAUCAAGAAGGAAAAAGCACAUCCACAGCAGAAAAUGGUUAAUACUGGAACCAGACUGAUUCGAUCUGGAAUCAUCUUUCCCCUUAACGAAGGAACGGAAGUGGAACAGUUGGAACAACUUGUGAAGAAGGAUUCCAUAAUCAGGCAGGAAUAUAUUGAUGUUCUGAAGCUCAAGCCUAGGGAUACCAAAAUCGUUCAUUACGUGCACAACGUUUUCGCGGACGAAUCACUUAUUGACUACAAUUACAAUGGAGUUAACGUUGUUGGCCAAACAAAACGUGCCAUGCGAAUGUACGACAUAUUCUCCAACUGCUUCAUGGAAGCGUACGAAGCGGAAGGACUUACAGACGUCGAGCUUGCCUUCCAGCUGACGUCGGCGAUCAAGCAAAGUCGAAACCGGAUGCGGCAGCGCAUGUUCCGUGCUAGGAAAAUUGUGAAAGCAAGUUGUGAAAAGAGAAAGGGAACUUCAUUUGAGACUUGAUGAACUUUAGUGUAUCCUGUUGACUCAAUUAUUGACAUUUUAGAGACUCUCAGUUUCUUUAUUGUUUUAGUACUCUGAGCUUUUACGAUUUGGUUCUAGAAUCAGUAGUUUUUUUUCAUAAUGGAUGGUAACAUGCUUACAUUUUUUUCAUCCUGAAGCAAGUUUAUUUUAUAUUCAAAUAAAUGAAUUGUAAUCACUCUUAAAUUGAUACACUUACUGUAAUGCAUAUUUCACCUUACCACUACGAUACCAUGCCUCAGAAGUACUUUAUUUGGUAGAAGUAAUGUUUUUUUUUUAUCUGAAAAUAUUCAAAUCCACUUGCACACUUCCAAAUUCCAUUGAUCUUUUCAAAUAUCCUUCAAGUAAAACAUGAAAAUAAAAAAAAAAAAAAAAACAAUUAAAACGAAAUAAACUGUUUGAUUGUAUUUUUCAGCUAAACAAACUGCAAAUUUACAACAAAAAAUCUACUUAUUUCUGGAUACUAACCAUGCCAACUCCUCCCCAUUCCAGAACAAGAGUUAGUGAUGAUAGAAAUCUGCUCCGAUGAAGCCACUCGGCAUGCCUCCGCCGAUGAUGACCAAAUCAAAGCCACUUCCUCUGCUAAAGGUAAUACAGCAGCAAGAUUACUUCGGUUAGCGGGAUUUACGUUUCCUCUGAAACGUGCAGAAGACAUCGAACGCUUGGAGAAAGCUGUCAGAGCAGAUCCAUUCAUUCGGAAAGAAUACAUUCGCUACGUGUCAUCUCGGGUGGGCGAUCAUCAUUAUAUUCCUGCGCACAUCAGGAGGCUUUUCAGCGAUAGAUCUUUGGAGAAUUACACGUAUCAUGGGGUUAGCAAUCCGCAAUAUCCUCGGAAAGCAAUGAAAGACUACGAGAUCUUUACCAACUGUUUGCUAGUUGCUUGGGAGGACGAUGGCAUCACCGCGGAUGAACUCCGAAUGUCGCUUAUUAAGGCUACACAAAAAGCGAAGCAGCAUUUAUCGUCGGCUCGGUACUAUCGACGCUACCGGGAACAACUACUAGAGAAACGAAAAGCAAGCUGGAAAAGCAAAAAGUUGCUCGAGUAGCUCUGAGUGUUCGGUGUACCACCCAAAAAUCACAUGGCCGCCAAGCUCGGUUAUACCCAGCGUGGGAAAACGCUGCUGCUGUACAACGGAUUCGCCUACGUCAAGGACCGCGAAGCCAUCAAAAGCUGCCACUGGAAGUGUUCACUGUACGGGAAGCUGAAGUGCCGUGCCAGGGCCGUCACCAAAACGGCAGUUGACGGCCAGUUGAUGAUGAAAAUCACCAAGUCGACCCAUAACCACGGCCAAGAUGCGUACAAAUUUGAACUUUCCACAGUGAAUAAACCUUGAUUCAGAUGUUAAUCGGUCGCGUUUUUCUUCAAAAGUGUACAAUAACACCGUGAUUGCAGGACUAACCUCAUUUUCUGCACUUUCGUAGGUCUCUCUGGUGGGGCCUACUUUGAGAAAACCGCGCAGGGCUGCCUUAUGCUGUGGCACGGAAACAACGGGUAUUUUCGCGAGAAGCAGAGGCACAACACCACCAACUGGAAAUGUGCCUGCUACAACAAAUAUCGCUGCAAAGCACGGGCUGUGACGAAGGAAAUCGGCGGAGAGUACUACUUCCGGAUAACCUGUGAUGAACAUACCCAUCUUCCGUAUUCUAGCGGCUAUUGGCGGGCAAAACGGAGAAACGAAGUGGCCCCGUUGACGUCGGUGGUGCAUUGCAGUGGAAGAUGGUAAUGGAUAAACGCUGUACUAGAUUAUUCAUAUCGAACAAUGAGUGUGAUAAUUAUUUAUACAUUUUAAUAAACAAUCAUGGACUGAAAGGUGCAGUUGUAUUCACUUAUAAACAAGUUGAUCUAGUACUACAACCUGAUCGCCAAAUGACUAAUAAUGUCUACCCUUUCAGACGUUUCGUACAUACUAAACAAACGAGGAGCAACUCAGCUGUGCAUCAAUGGGUUUCCCUUUAUCCGUUCGAAAACAACCGAGGACUACCAGUAUUGGACGUGCAGAGAGUACAAAGCUCUACGCUGCACGGCUCGGGCCGUUUCGGGUCGUCGAGAACGGAGGAACGAUCCUACCGUCAAGCUACGGGGCGUUCACAAUCAUGUCAUUUUGGAGCGCCGUGAUGCAGAAGAAAAUGCUAAAGAUAUUUCGUUUACCCUUAAUAAACGAGGGGCGACUCAAUUAUGUGUCAAUGGAUACCCCUACAUCCGCUCCAAAACGACCGAGGAAUUCCAGUAUUGGUCCUGCAGCCAGUACAAAGUUUUACGCUGUCCGGCGCGAGCCAUUUCCAGCCGCAGAAGGCAGGGCAAUACGCCCACGAUCAAGCUUCGGGGCACCCACAGUCACGGGAUCAUUUUGGAGCGUCGCAAACCAGGCGAAAGUGCCAAAUUGCUGAAACUGAACGCCAUGGAACGCCGGGAGAUGGAAAUGUUGCCAGAAAAGCGGAAACGAUUGUCAUCGGGAGCACCACCUCCACCGGUGGAAUGUGUUUUGGGAGGCGAUAAUCCAUCCUCGUCGAAGUGAAUUCGAAUGGUUGAAUAGGACAGAUCGGUGAAGUACUAGAUUUGUAGUAAUGAGCUAAAUUUUAUUAUGGUGAGAAGGUCUAUUCUCCGUUUCUGCAAUGAAAUGGGGCUAAAAGCGUGGGUAUUAUGAUUCCUUGCCUAAUUUGAUGCUGUUUGAGUAAAACUUUGGGCAACAGUGUUGUUGUUUUCUCCAUUUCUUGCAACAUAAACACCAAAGUUAUGCAAAGUUUUGCUCAAACAGCAUCAAAUUAGGCAAGGAAUCAUAAUACCCAUGCUUUUUGCACCAUUUCUUUGCAGAAUUGGAGAGCCGACCUUCUCACCAUACAAAAAUUCUGCUCAUUACUACAAAUCUAGUACUACACCGAACGUACCCCAUUGUUCGUUCAGUAAUUCUAGUACUGCAGUUUGAAAUCGUCGUAUGUUAGUGGUUGUCGAGAUGGAGUUUUGCAUAAUUUUAUUAUAUAAUAAACUCGAAAUCUAAUAACACUUCUUUUUUGCUUAUUUUAUCAAAUUGAUCUAGUACUGCAGUUCUAAUAAUUGAAUGUAAUCGCUAUUUACAUUUCAGAUAUUUCAUUCGUGAUUAGCAAACGCGGCAAAACUCAUGCUUCGAUGGUUAUUUGUACACUCGAGCAAAAACAACUGAAGAAUUACAAUUUUGGACGUGCAAUCAGGAUAGGGUACUUGGAAAGGAGAUCGGCCGUCCAUCAAACUGCGUGGAUUUCACAACCACAAAAUUAUCCAGGAGCGUCGGAAAACCGGUGAAUGUGCCAAGCUGCGAGAGCAGUGCGCCCGCGAACAGAACGAGGAAGUGUUGCCACGGAAGAGGAAACGGCUGCCUCCGCUACCGUUGAAGUGUGUUCUGCUCACGGACAGUAAGGAAAAGACCUCUGUCGUGAAUAAGGAAAGCCAUUGAAAACGUUUAUUUAUUAUGAUAUGUAGUAAAAUAAGAUUAUUCUGUGAAGAGGGGCAAGGUUGCCAGGAACGCAAUCUUAUAAUCAUCUGUUUUACUUUUCCCUCAACACCUCUAUAACUUAAUAUUAGUCUAAUUAAUUCAUGUUACAAUUUAAUGUUUUUAUUUAUUUUCCAUUAUGCGAUUUGGUUGCAGUUUUUGAUUUAUAUUCGUUUCAGUUGCCUCAUAGGAAUUAGUUUUUUUUUACAGUGUUCAGAGUUGACAGAAAAAACUUAACUUUAAACUAUGGAAUUCAACAUUAAGAAAAUACGUAUGUUUUUCACAGAUGCUGUAGUCCAGUACAUCAAUGGCAAAAAGGGAACAUUUCCUCGGUUGAAAAUCGGUGGACAUUAUUUUACGAGGAGGCGUAUCUGCAAGACCAGCACCCGGUGGUAUUGUGUGAAGGAGCCGGCCCUGAAGUGUAACGUACGUAUCAGAGAAAAUAGGUAGAGAAGCGAAGAGUGUGAAGCCAAAAAUACCUUAUCGAACCGUCAAACUGGUAUCCUAUCGAGCAAAAUCAACAAACCUUGAUGAUAACCGCAUAAGUGAAGAUAAGUAUUGCAAUCAUUUGAAACAUAUUUAUACCAAAGUUUUAAAAUAUCAUGGAUAACAGUAUAAAUAACAUUGAUUCCUUGAAUUAAUGAAAAUUGUUCCAUUUUGGAACAUCAGUUUGAUAAUGCCUAGUUAAUAAAACAACAGUAUAAAUAGUUUUCAAAUGCGGUAUGCGAGAUAGGCACUACCUUCGAUGGGUGGAUUAAUCUGCUUUGCUGCAGUUGCCAGCAUCCGAGCGAUGAAAUCAAAACAGAAAAAGUGUUGCCGUUCUGGCGGCUGUUCACUCUUCGCUUCUCUACCUAUUUUCUCUGGUACGUAUCACAACCGAUUCGAUCGGAACGAUAAUACGGAUAAACAAUGUUCACAAUCAUCCACCAGUAGUGGUUGAUACAUUCAAAGGGCGACUGCUGAUCACACCUUUCGCAGAAAAAUCUAUUCAGAAGUACGAGAUGAAUCUUAGAAACUGAUGCCGCGCUGCCGUUUCUUUACAAGGGCAAAUAUACGAAUUGCUACUGAACCUACAGGUCAUGCGACUUAUUUGUUUCCUCAGUGAUAAUAGGAGCAGUGAACUGAGUCAUAGGUGAAGUUUGAAUUGAAAUAUAUCUCAUUAUCAGCGACCACCGCAAAAAUCCAUUGGAAUCCGUCGAGUUCUACAAAAAACAAAUUGUCAGAUUUUUUCUAAUAAAUAAUUUCGAUUACUUUUAAGAAACGUCUGGUAUUAAAACAAUAGUAACAUACAUUACAUAUUUGAUUUGUAAUAAUAAGCAAUCUCAUCAAUCUACUGAAUUAUCAAAAAGAAAAAUUCCGAUGAAACUUAUGAGUUAACGUUAUCUAAGAUUAAUUUUGAACCCCCUAAAUUAUUCUAAAAUUAUAAGAGAUGACACUUUUUUAAAUAGUUUGCGAAAAACAUUUUCAGUGUUACCAGAACAACUUUCAGGAAAGUUUCCAAACAUCAACCAUCAAUAACACCGAAGCAAAAGCUCACCAAUGAAAUAACUCUUGUUUUACAGGUAAUGCGGUCAACGCCAUGCGAUACAUUUGUACCGAUAAGGGAGUCCCUCAAUUGGAAUACGAGGGAUACCACUUCUGCAAACGAAGGGCAAAAAAGCACUGCAUCCGUUGGUAUUGUACUACGUGGCGUAGGAUGAAAUGCACGGCACGGGUUACAACAAUCACUUCUAAUGGAGCAGUAUCGCAGUUUUGCAAUGAUCACAACCAUCCACCGACGGCGGAGUGUCCUAAAAUAAGCCACAAGCCCAAGCGCAAAGCUUAGUACUUCUAACAAUAUUGUCAUCUGAUUUACAAUAUGCUCGAAACAUGAUCAAUGAAUCCGAAACUACAGGCUGAGGAUUCUUGAAUAUGAUAUGUAUUAGCUGUAUUGACGCAAUAUUUUUUUUAAAUAUAAGAUAUUCAAUUACCAUAAAGAAUGAGGUCUUAAUACUACUCAACAACCUUGAUAAAAGUAGGAAUGAUGCAAAAAUCUAGUCUGAAAGAAAAGUAUUAAGUAUUACGUUUCAUCUGUUUCGAAUGACAAUUAAUUCUUGCUGCUUUUUUUGUGUUCGAUGAAACCACCUCGUUCUAUAUUUUGUUUGUUGCCGUUAUAUUUCAGUAUACGAAAAUAAACAAAAAAUAAAUUUGGCAACUCUGCAAAUAUAUUGCCAGCAAAAUGUCAUGGUUUAUUUACCAGUCUUGUUCCAAGUUUCUCAACACAAAAUUGAGAUUUUAUAAGUGUCGUUAUGUAUGAAUUUUAUUGCUGAAAAAUAAUUUUAAGGGCUGCCAGAUUUUUUUAUUGUGGCAAUUUUAUUACCAUAUUAGAACGUAGAUUGGUUUUAUUUAUCUAACGAUCCCAAUGUUUAUUUUAGACAUUUCAUUCGUCAUGAGCUGCCGCGGGAAAACUCAACUUAGCGUAAACGGUCACCUCUACACUUGUGACAAGACAACCGAUGACGCCAUGUACUGGUGUUGCAAUCAGCGCCGUGUUCUUGGCUGCACAGCUCGUGCUAAUACUGGACGUAAAAAGGCAGGAGAACAGCCAUCCAUCAAACUGCGCGGCUUUCACAAUCAUGGAAUUAUCGCAGAACGACGCCGACCCGGGGAAUAUGCCAGGCUGAAGGAGCAGUACGAUCGCGAACGGAAAGUGUUGCCAGAUGUGGAGCCUCAUCGCCCUGCCCUUUCCAGAAUGAAAAAGAAGCAAAAAUGAAUUAUUUUUCUGUGUAUUUUCUCGACGUUUUAGUACUACAGUUGUGACCGUAGCUCUGUUUCAAGAUGCCCAAGUCACUAAUAUAUGUACACUGACAAAUUUAUGAUUUUUUUCUUGUGAUGCGUGCCUUGUAUCAACCAAUCUAAAACAUAAUCUCAUAAGCAAUCAUAAACAUUGCAGAUAUUGCGCAUU